rnacentral:lncRNA from 1 species
CUCUGGCAACAGUGUGGCCCACAUCCCCGUCCCUCUGGUGGUGACAACACUCAACAGUUCCACUUUGGCAGUGAUUGUGUGCAGGUGUAUCUCCAUAUCUCUCCAACAUUUUUACUUGUAUAUCAACUACCGGUUCGUCAUGUCCUCGCCAACUAUAGUCGUGGCCACAGAUACCCUCCCACCUGGAGUCUGCACUGUCUGCCGGAAAGGGAAGAUAAAGAACAGUGCAUCUUGUUGCACAUGGAUCACCUGCUGUCUUUUGCUGCCUUUUGGUAUUGUCCCUGGCAUCAUUGCAUAUUGCUGCUGCUGUCGCGAGCCUAAGUGCACCAACUGCGGCUAUACUGCCUAGGGAGGGAUCAUCAUUGUCUUGGGUACAUUUGCAUCUCCUAUUCAAGACCCACAGUGGAUGCAGCUUUGGCUAUACCAUCUAGUCAUCCACAUCAACUAACUAUCCUGCACUCAUCACCUGGUUGUGUAUACAGUACUUUACUUGGCUCCAACAAUUGCUGCUGUUGCUGCCACUAACUUUUGGGAGGAGACAAUGAUGGGGCAGGACACAUUAAUCACUGUAAAUGUACCGUAAGAGCUGAUACAUGCUAUAACUGGGAUGAGAAUUCAAUAUUAAAUGGUCUACAUAAUUUUAAUAAUUCUUUUAUUCUAAUAGUACAGUAAUUUUAGGGCUAUACUUUUUGUUCUUGCUGUAUUACUGUUUCUUAAAGAGUCUUGAAGGAACAAUACUUCAAGUUUUGAUGGAAUAGUAGUAGUAAUGAAUUUAACUUUUGACAAUUGUUCAGUUAUGAUGCAAUCCCCACGUAAGGUCAGUGAGUGAGAGUAUUGACUGAAUGCUAUGGUGCUUAUUUUUUUUUUUUUUUUUACAUCACUCGAGGUUUGGCCACUUAGUCUCCUUAGUCGUGCAUAGACAUAGGAAGCAAUAAUCACCAGAGGGGUUAAGUGGCAAUGCAAGACUCAAGAUGGUCCACAUCAACAUUGAUUGUCUAAAAUAGAAAAUUUUGAAAUGGAUAAAGAAUGACGAUAGUAAGAUUACUUUAUUUACAGAAGAUGGUGUGAAUUUCAACUAGCUGUACUAACACAGAAAUUUACUGAUAUUGGUAGUUAUAGGUGAAUAAAUCUGUAUCUUAGAUAUUUACAGCAGUUUUGUUAGAUCACCAGAAGAUUAUUUUUUAAUACUGAUCUGUGUAAGCUUAUAAAUUUUCCAUUCAUGUAUAUUUGUGGAACUUGAGUGAAGGAAUGUGAAGGUUUUUAUAGCCUUUGUACAUUAUUAUUUAGUACUUUAUCCGCUUUGCCACUAAUGGACUCCUUAGCAGAUUUUUUUUAAGGCGACUUAAAUACAAAAGAUAACGGUAUCACAUUCCUCUCCAUACUCUACAUAAAAAAUAGACUUCAUACCUAUUAAAAAAAUAAAAUAAUUUUCAUUUAAGUAAAUUAUCAUAAGUCGUUUAGAAUAAUUCAGUGGUUCCCAACCUUUUUUGGUUGCGACCCUAAAUUUCCCAACAAUACGGUGUCGUGACCUUCAAGCAUAUAAGAUAUUAUAUAGCUUGAAUGAUAAGCAAAAAUUUGUUUGACUGUGAUAAGUACUAGAUUUUAAAAAUUGUCUGAAGGCCCCUCGCGACCCUACUGAGGACACCCCACGUGACCUGUGGUUGGUAACCACUGAUUUAGAUAAACAAACUACUUUAUUAAUGUACAGUUUGAAUAAUAUAAAAAAUUUCAGAAAUUCCGAAACCUACGUUGCAAAAAUUUCAUACUGUAUCGAAUAAAAAUAUUAAUCUAAAGAAAAUAUCAUUAGUUGCUAGUCUAUUACAAUACUGUACUGCAUUACAUAACUAGUUUACUAUUAUUGACCAUCUCUAGUACUGCACAACUACUGACCAGAAACAAACUUAAUUUUCUUAAGAAUCGCUGGCAAACACACUCGUUCACAAUAAUUCUCUCAAAAUUAAUGUAUUGUACUGCAUGUUAUUUCCCCAAAAUAUACCUAUGAAAUACAGCAUCUUUGUGAUAUGGCAAUAUGACCUGACUGUAUAGGUUACAUAGAAAAAGAAAAAAAUGCCAAAGGAAUUUUAAAGAGCUCCCGUCUAUUUCAAUUGUACAAAAGGAAGGAAAGCGGAUAAAAAGUUGCAAAAGAAUUACUUUUGAAUUCGCCACAGGAAGUGCAUGGAAGCUUUAAUAAUAGAAUUGCUACAAAUAUUGAGAGAAUAAUGAAGAGUUUCUAUAAGGGAGAAAGAAAUUUACAAUCUUUAUCACCACAAGGGUCAAGAAUCUAUUAAUAAUAAAAUCAAAAGUUCUCAUUGGUCUUGAUUUAAUGUUUUACAUACAUGCUUGUGCACAGAAGGUUACUAUAUUGCCUCUUCCUUCCCGUUCUUUUGGUGUAUUGUUUGUCUUUGUUUUUAAUGUCACAAUUAUUAUACCAAUACAGUACAGUAUAGAUACUGUAUUGUGGUAUUUGUUCCUCAUAAAAAAUGUGAAGCUUUAAUAUACUGUAAUAGGAGUUGAAUAAUCAAAGAAUUUACACUUCUACGGCUUGAGUAAUAAGUUGUACCGAGUAGUUCUAUGAUGGUCUUACAGCUGGAGUUUUAAUAGCCCUCUUACCAUUGACGGGUUGUAGUGCUUCAAGCUGGGUUUUUAAAAAAAUAGUCUCGAAGGACACCACGCUACAGUGCUUGCCAGGGAGGUUUGGCAUAAAAUGAACUAAUUGCAAUGUAUUAUAAAUAAUUUUGCUGGAAUUUUUUAUUUUACUGCCACACCUCCCCAACACAAGUGCAGUGUCCUUAGUGACUUAUUUUUUUUUACAAACAUGGGUUGAAAUAGACCCCCGUCAAUGGGAAAAGGGGAUUGAAAUACUUCGUCCAUCAAUCUCAUUAGUUUUUGAGGGAACCUAGGUUUUUGGUGCAGUAUUUGACAAAUUUUCUAUUCAUGCACAUAGCAAGAAAAAAAAAUGCUGUCAUACAAUCUUGAUAAGAAUGAUUCCCGAUUCUGUAAGUUUUUGAAUAUUUAUUUGAUAGUACAUUUCUUGUUACUAUUUGCACUUGUAAACCCUAAACUAUUAAUUCAUAGGAUACUAUAUGGUAUAUUUAAGAAUUAAGACUGGCUAGGCUGUUCUUGUAAUGUUCUAUUUGUACAAUACUACCAUAUUGCCUUUUUUGUACUGUGCUGCAUAGUAACGGCAGUCAUUCCUUCCAUGAGUAAUGUAUAGCAGUUAGCAGUGUCUAUUCUUGGAAAUAUUUGUCGCCAGUAGUAUCAUACAGUAAUUAUUUUUAGAGAUUUUGUCUGAUAGUGAGAGUAUGUAUGAGUUGUCCUAAAAAAUUUAGUUCUAAUUACUUUUGGAGAUGAGAAAUACAAGGCAGUGUUAAGUUUCCCAAUGUGGUAAGAACUAAUGUACAGUACAUGAUUUUUUACUCUCUCGGAAGCCUCUUCAUGUUGUAAUUUUAUUUUUUCCUUUGGAACCAUGAUUUUAAAGCUUGUGUUGGGCAUUUGGAUAUACUAAUAGCAUGUUAAAAAAAUUAUAAGGGUAUAGUAAUGUGAUAUUUAUGGGGUACAGUACUGCUAUUCACUAAAGCUCAUAAAAUUAACAUUUGUACUGUAUUUAAUUAGUUACAUCAGAUUAGACCAGACUCGUAAAAUUUUAUUUAUUUUUAAUCCAUUUCUGGAUAUUUAGGAAGCAUUAACAGCCGUUUGUUACAAAUAAAUCUUUUUUUAUUUGAGCAUAUCAAUUUUUUUUUUAGAAAUGACUGGAUUUUUAAUACUGUAAAUGAUUUCUCACUCCUGAUAGAUGUCUUUUUGUAUCCCAAAGACCUUUAGUAAAUUCGAACUAAGGUCUUGAAUAAUUUGUCCCCAGUGUAUUCAUUAUUAAAUGCUCUUGACAACUGGACUAGCAAGAUGAAAAAUGAGCUGCAGGUAUUAAGGACACAGGGUAUGUCACAUGACCAACCAUGACUACUGGUAGAUUGGUUGUUAACCAAAAUUUAGUACAGUACCUGUAGAUGAAAUUGCUAAUAUUAUUCAAAGUACAAUAGCCAUAGGCAGUUACUGAUUUACUCUGCCAUAAAAAACAAAUGACCUUGCUCCUCAUUUGUGAAAACUUGUGUUUGAAUUCCCUAAUAAAAUGAUGAGAGGAAUGGCAUUUCACUGCUAAUCUAUUCGUCCAACAAUUUUGAUGAGUUAUGAUAAAGUAUAUUUGAUAAUGCACUGGACAAAAGUUGAGUAGUUGCAUUUAAUAAAACCAUGUUUAAUUCUA